rnacentral:rRNA from 1 species
AAACCAGCACCUCAAGUGGUCAGGAUGAUUAUUGGGCCUAAAGCAUCCGUAGCCGGCUCUGUAAGUUUUCGGUUAAAUCUGUACGCUUAACGUACAGGCUGCUGGGAAUACUGCAGAGCUAGGGAGUGGGAGAGGUAGACGGUACUCGGGAGGAAGUGGUAAAAUGCUUUGAUCUCUCGAUGACCACCUGUGGCGAAGGCGGUCUACCAGAACACGUCCGACGGUGAGGGAUGAAAGCUGGGGGAGCAAACCGGAUUAGAUACCCCUGUAGUCC